UAGGGAAUCUUCCACAAUGGACGCAAGUCUGAUGGAGCAACGCCGCGUGAGUGAAGAAGGUUUUCGGAUCGUAAAGCUCUGUUGUUGGUGAAGAAGGAUAGAGGCAGUAACUGGUCUUUAUUUGACGGUAAUCAACCAGAAAGUCACGGCUAACUACGUGCCAGCAGCCGCGGUAAUACGUAGGUGGCAAGCGUUGUCCGGAUUUAUUGGGCGUAAAGCGAGCGCAGGCGGAAUGAUAAGUCUGAUGUGAAAGCCCAUGGCUCAACCGUGGAACUGCAUCAGAAACUGUCAUUCUUGAGUGCAGAAGAGGAGAGUGGAAUUCCAUGUGUAGCGGUGGAAUGCGUAGAUAUAUGGAGGGACACCAGUGGCGAAGGCGGCUCUCUGGUCUGCAACUGACGCUGAGGCUCGAAAGCAUGGGUAGCGAACAGG
rnacentral:rRNA from 1 species